AUUGAACGCUGGCGGCAGGCCUAACACAUGCAAGUCGAGCGGAUGAAGGGAGCUUACUCCUGGAUUCAGCGGCGGACGGGUGAGUAAUGCCUAGGAAUCUGCCUGGUAGUGGGGGAUAACGUCCGGAAACGGGCGCUAAUACCGCAUACGUCCUGAGGGAGAAAGUGGGGGAUCUUCGGACCUCACGCUAUCAGAUGAGCCUAGGUCGGAUUAGCUAGUUGGUGGGGUAAAGGCCUACCAAGGCGACGAUCCGUAACUGGUCUGAGAGGAUGAUCAGUCACACUGGAAAUGAGACACGGACCAGAAUCAUACGGGAGGCAGCAGUGGGGAAUAUUGGAAAAUGGGCGAAAGCCUGAUCCAGCCAUGCCGCGUGUGUGAAGAAGGUCUUCGGAUUGUAAAGCACUUUAAGUUGGGAGGAAGGGCAGUAAGUUAAUACCUUGCUGUUUUGACGUUACCAACAGAAUAAGCACCGGCUAACUUCGUG
rnacentral:rRNA from 1 species